UGUGAAAGCCAAAAUAUGCUUUUCAUUUUGUCACUAGUAGGGGCCAUCCAUUAGGAGGACAGGGGAAAAAGAAGCAGUGUGACCAGCACCGGAGGACAUCGAUUCUCUUCCAGCAGCGACAGAGAAGCUAGUCCUAGCUCGAGGAAAGAUGGAUGGGGCUAAAGACGAGACAAUCCUGUUAGAGGCAGCAGGAAAGUUGAAACUGGAGCAGAAAUUCGCCCUACAGCAAAACAAUGACCCUAAACAUACAGUCAAAGCUACAAAAGAACAACACUCGUGUGUUUGAACGGUCCAGUCAAGACCAAGAAUACAAAGCAGAAUAAAAAGCAACACUAAUGAAGCAGCAAA